rnacentral:lncRNA from 1 species
ACUUGUCCGCAGGGGCCUGCCACCCAAGGAACGGUGUUUGCUAGGUGGCGCCCACCCCCACGCGUCUGCAUCCUCCCUGCCGCGCAUGGCUCCUUGUCAGGAGUGUCAGGUGUCGUCUGGGGAGGGGCUGGGGGGGCUGAGCAUGGCUGUCCUCCCUCCUGCUUCCCUUCCCUCCUCUCCUCCCCGAGAAGGCGCAGGUGCGAGCUCCCGGUGUCCCUGGCAUGGGUGAGCAGUGCAGAGGCUGGGCCAGCCCCUCUGGGAGGAUGCGAGCCCUCGGAGAAGGCCCCGCGGGCCCAGGGCUCCAGCUCUGGCCCUGUCGGGGCCAGGGAGGUGCACUGGGUCGGGCAGUGGGUGCAGGGGGGUCACCCCUUAUUUUCAGACCUCACGCCUGGCAAGAGACAUGCCGAGAGGACGCUGCUGGCUGCGGCCCAGUGUGCAGGGGACCCCGGGGCUGGCCUCCCUUCUGUUCAGGCACCUCUCCCUCUUUGCCCCCCUCCCCCUCCCCCCGUGUGGGAGUCGGGCAGGAAGGAGAGAGGGGCCAGAGGCGGGUGGGUGCCUUCGGCUCCCAGGCCGAGGCAGAGUCCAGGCAGGUGUUUGCUGAAGGAAGCUGCGCUUUCGGAGUCUGGGCCCAGGGCAGCAGGGAGCGGAGGGCCGCACGGGGCUGCGUGUGACAGGGACCCCUGGGGUUGGGAGAAGGCGGGCUGGGCUCACCUGGGGUCCCCCUGCGUGCUGGUGGGCACUGUGGCGAGCCUCCGGGAUGGGCCAUGUGGCCAGGGGGCGGCAGAGAGAGCCAAGGGCCGUCGUCUAGGUGUGCGAGUGGGUCUGAGCUGGCCCGCUGGGCCGUGGUUGGGGGGUGCAGGGGCCGUGAUCGCAGGUGCAGGACCCCCUGCCCCAGUACCUGCCCUCUUCAACUCAUGUUGUUUUCAACACGGAUUUUCGUUAUCUUCCCCCGCAAUCAAGCCAAGGGAGGGUCCCGGAGUGGGGAACAGGACACAGGAUGCUGGUCUCCAAGGGGACUGUCCAUCGACAGACACUCAGAGUGGAUGCUCACCUGCCCGUCCGCGGCUGUGCUCAGGACAGCUGUCCCCACCCAUGGACGCGGGGUGA